GAGACACCAAGCUGCUCCACCUCUCAUCCCUCAUGUUGGUAGCUCACCUGCAGCACCUCACACGGCGGCGCCACCUACAUCGGGUCAGCUAAAGGCCGACGACAUACCAUCUAGUGAGUGAACUAGGACAACCACAGUUGCUGCUGCAGGAAGAGUAGGCUUACCAGCAGGGGAAAGUGUUAGUAAGAGCUGCUUCUACUUUGACGGGCUUAAGCCUCAUCACGCCUCUUCGUAAGUGCUGAAAGGCCAAUGCGAAGAGACCAAAAAAGUAUAAUAUGAAUAUCUGUAGCUUCUCUACGCUCUCAAGAAUGAAAGACGAACUGGCUGCUCUCCAUGCCGUUAACUGAGAUGCCUUGCCCGCUGAAGAAAAGAGCAGCACCAGUGAUAUAUCAAUAACCACAAAAGCUCGUGAAAGAAGUCAGUGACCUAGACGUUUUCAGUUUGAGAACAUAACGGUGAGGUUCUCAUUGUUUUGGUUGGGUAGUAUGUAGGAGAUUAAGACCAGUAACACAGAAAGAUGAUUUUUUUUGCAUCUGAGUAGCACCCACCACUGUUUUUAACAGACAAAUUUGUCCAUUCGUACAGAUUUGUCCUACUUUGUGAGGCGUUGAUCAACUCCAGUAGAGCUUUAUUUACCUGCAAUUGGAGCGAGGAAAUACCACGAAGAUAACAAAUCCAGAAAUUAAAGGAGUUUUUACCUGUGAGUAGUGGGUAUCUAGAUCAACGGCUGCUCUCUGUUCAGGAGUUUUUGCCCUCAGAAAACGAAGAACAAUCGACAGGGUUUGGCGGUCAAACUGAAAAGAAUAAGAGACGUAAAUUAGGAUCAGGAUGGUGAAAUCACUUAUGAAGCUCACACAAUGUAAUCGACAACCCGAUCAGCUACAUUGUCGAGUUGGUCACAAAUUUUCACAUUUGAAGUUGUUUUCUCAGUCGUGGAAAAAAGCAGGAGAAAAACAACAUAAAGCUAUUAUACAGCAAACAGAGUGCUUGAACUUCACAAGCUGCACAUUAAUGUCGUCUAUCAGUUCAAACAUUUCCCGAUUUUUGGGAAUUCUAGAAGAACCUUUGGUUAUCAACAAAGCUAGAGCACAGUUUGUCAGCCCCAAGCUAUUGCCAGAGUUGUACUAAUAUUUUUAUCUUGCAAGAAGUACUGGAGGAGAUGUUGAAUUAAAUACAUUGGAAUAUGUUUUAUAAUAGUUUCUGUUUAUGA